CAAUAGCGUAUAUUAAAGUUGUUGCGGUUAAAAAGCUCGUAGUUGGAUUUCUGCUGAGAACGACCGGUCCGCCCUUUGGGUGUGUAUCUGGCUCUUUCUUGGCAUCUUCUUGGUGAACGUUGCUGCACUUGACUGUGUGGAGCGCUACCCAGGACUUUUACUUUGAGGAAAUUAGAGUGUUUCAAGCAGGCAUACGCCUUGAAUACAUUAGCAUGGAAUAAUAAGAUAGGACCUCGGUUCUAUUUUGUUGGUUUCUAGAGCUGAGGUAAUGAUUAAUAGGGAUAGUUGGGGGCAUUCGUAUUUAACUGUCAGAGGUGAAAUUCUUGGAUUUGCUAAAGACGGACUACUGCGAAAGCAUUUGCCAAGGAUGUUUNCAUUG
rnacentral:rRNA from 1 species